UACGUAGGCGGCAAGCGUUGUCCGGAAUUAUUGGGCGUAAAGGGAGCGCAGGCGGGGAACUAAGCGGAUCUUAAAAGUGCGGGGCUCAACCCCGUGAUGGGGUCCGAACUGGUUUUCUUGAGUGCAGGAGAGGAAAGCGGAAUUCCCAGUGUAGCGGUGAAAUGCGUAGAUAUUGGGAAGAACACCAGUGGCGAAGGCGGCUUUCUGGACUGUAACUGACGCUGAGGCUCGAAAGCUAGGGUAGCGAACGGG
rnacentral:rRNA from 1 species